rnacentral:rRNA from 1 species
UACAGAGGGUGCAAGCGUUAAUCGGAAUUACUGGGCGUAAAGCGUGCGUAGACGGUCAUGUAAGUCGGGUGUGAAAGCCUCGGGCUCAACCUGGGAAUUGCAUUCGAGACUGCAUGGCUAGGAUGCGGAAGAGGGAAGCGGAAUUUCCGGUGUAGCGGUGAAAUGCGUAGAUAUCGGAAGGAACACCAGUGGCGAAAGCGGCUUCCUGGUCCAGCAUCGACGUUCAGGCACGAAAGCGUGGGGAGCAAACAGG